ACCAGAACCAUGCAGAUCUAGAUGUGGAGCAGGAGGCUAAAGAAUAGAUAUAAAAAAAAAAGUUUUUCACCGGAGUACUCCUUGAGGCCGGAAGAAGGACGUUCCUACGUCCGAAACUGCCGGCGUAGCCUCUGAGCGCCCCUGACCGUCCUCGUCUAUGCUAUAGUGAUCCCGGACCUCGGGCUUGCAGCAGUUUACCCGCGGAAAAUCUAAAGAGAUCAACCAUGACGCUAGAAAAGGAAUAUUGGAUCUCCCAAGUCUGCUACAUCCUUUAGAACAAUUUGAAAUGUCUGAAGGUACCACAUCCAUCUGCCCAAAUAAAAAUAUUUAAG